GGGCAGCCGGCAGGGUGGAGGGACAGGUGGGAGUCACGCCAGCUCCAACCAGGUCUAGAACCCAAACCUUCAACCCCUGAGCUUUCCUGCCUUCGAGUCCUCGGAGCUCUCCUGGAGGCUGAGCAGGCAACAGAGCCUGCUCCUCAGCUGGAUGUGGCCCGUGGGAGGUGGAGAAACUGAGGCUCAGAUAAAUGACUAAGAAGUAAAGUGAGGUCCCAUAGCCAGUGAAUGGCAGAGCAGGGAUUCGAACCCAGGUCUCUCGUAAGAAUGACAUAGGAGCAUAAGUGCCCCACCCCAUUUGACAGAUGAGGCUGAGGCUCAGAGCAGAGAAGUGACGGGCAGGUUAGGUGCAUGUGGUCUCUCAUCUGGGAAGUGGGAUGAUAGCGCCAACCUAGCUGGAUUGCUGUGACUGCCAGCACAAUGCCUUCUAAGGGUUCAAGAUGAGAUUACUUAGUCCCAGAUGGGUUAAGUAACUGGCCCAAGGUCACAGCGCUGGUAAGCAACUGGGCUUCAAUCCAACCAUCCUGACUCCAGAAGCCUCUUUGAACUACCACCUUCUGCACCUGCCCCAGGGCUUCUUCGCCUGAGCCGGUGCCUUGCUGCCGCCCUGCUCAUCUCUUCUGGGAAGAUGCCUCUCAUCUUGCCAGUCCUCAAGCCAGAAGCCUCCGGUGCUGCCCUAGGGCUCCCUGAAUAGGCAUCCCUAAGGCAUCCCUCCUGGUGUUCAAACCACAUCCUUCCUGGCUAAGCUUCCAUUCCCCAGGGUAGCCCUCCACACUUUGGAGCCUCAGCUCACCUCUCACUCUCACACUUCAGUUUCACACUUCCCUUCUGAAUGGUCCCACCUCUGUGCUUUUGCUUAAGCUGUGCACACUUCCCAGAGUGCUCUUUCCCCUAUGUCUGCCUGUGCUCCAAUACCCUAUGCCUGAGCUGACCCAUGACAUACAAGCACCUACAGAGGCCUGGGGGAAGGAGGCAGUGGUAUGUGUGUCAGUGUGGGGAGUCAGUGAAGAGGUUUGGGGCUUUAGGGUCAGUUAUGUGACUUCAGGGCAAGUCCCCAUCUCCCUGAACCCCAGUUUCUGCAAAAUGAAGAUAUCCAUCCCAGCU
ensembl:lncRNA novel transcript